CUACGUGCCAGCAGCCGCGGUAAUACGUAGGUCCCGAGCGCUGUCCGGAUUUAUUGGGCGUAAAGCGAGCGCAGGCGGUUAGAUAAGUCUGAAGUUAAAGGCUGUGGCUUAACCAUAGUACGCUUUGGAAACUGUUUAACUUGAGUGCAAGAGGGGAGAGUGGAAUUCCAUGUGUAGCGGUGAAAUGCGUAGAUAUAUGGAGGAACACCGGUGGCGAAAGCGGCUCUCUGGCUUGUAACUGACGCUGAGGCUCGAAAGCGUGGGGAGCAAACAGGAUUAGAUACCCUGGUAGUCCACGCCGUAAACGAUGAGUGCUAGGUGUUAGACCCUUUCCGGGGUUUAGUGCCGUAGCUAACGCAUUAAGCACUCCGCCUGGGGAGUACGACCGCAAGGUUGAAACUCAAAGGAAUUGACGGGGGCCCGCACAAGCGGUGGAGCAUGUGGUUUAAUUCGAUGCAACGCGAAGAACCUUACCUACUCUUGACAUCC
rnacentral:rRNA from 1 species